UACGGGGGGGGCAAGCGUUGUUCGGAAUUACUGGGCGUAAAGGGCUCGUAGGUGGCCAACUAAGUCAGACGUGAAAUCCCUCGGCUUAACCGGGGAACUGCGUCUGAUACUGGAUGGCUUGAGUUUGGGAGAGGGAUGCGGAAUUCCAGGUGUAGCGGUGAAAUGCGUAGAUAUCUGGAGGAACACCGGUGGCGAAGGCGGCAUCCUGGACCGGUACUGACACUGAGGCGCGAAAGCCAGGGGAGCAAACGGG
rnacentral:rRNA from 1 species